CUUUGGGCAGGUAAGAGAGUUCCUUCCCUAUCAAGGGGAUGGAGAGAAAGAAAAGUAAGACUUCCAAUAUUCUUCCGAAAGGGAGAAGGAAUAAUCUAUGAAGUCGGGUAAAAUAUAGAAAAAUAUUUUGCACAGCUCGAGUGCCCAGAAACAACCAGAAAAUUAAGGGAUAUAUCCUGGAAAGGAGUGCUCUUCCAUAUAGUACAGGAACUCAACCAGAAUCUACCCCAAUUCUGGCAAGGAUCACAGCUAAAACAAAAAUUUGGAAUAUAUCUAUGGGUACCUAAGAAGAGAGCAAGAAAAGAGCUUAUUAGAAAAACUAAGCAAAAUUCAUUUCAAAUAAAUGUAAUAAAAUACAGACAUCCUGAUACUUACAUUUCCUUCCAUCUUCUAACCCUUCUCCAUGUUGAUUAUUAAUGCCGUGCUCUCUUCUCUUGGCUUCUGUGACACUACAGUCCCUUCGCUUUCUUCUGCCUUCCCAGCAGUUUCUUGGUCCUCCUUUGCAGGAACAGUAAAGACUGGAGCUGUGGCUCAGAAUCGGGAGGUUCCUCUCCUCUUCCAUCUUCAUGGUCUCCUUAUCUGAUGAUGUAACCAUGUCUAUUCCCAUAAUACCAUUUACAGGCUCAGGGUUCCCAAACGUGUAUCUUUAGCCCUGAGCUCCUGGAUUAUAUCACCAGCUGCCUAUUUUGGCAUCUCCACUUGUAUAUCUAGUAGACAUAUCAAAGUUUAAAAAUAUCAAGACUCUUGAAUUCUGUCUCCAAAACUAUUCUCCCUCACCUCCUUUGUAGGCCUGAAGACCAUCCAGGACUCACCAUAUCAUUAAUCAUUUGCCUUUCCUGUGGGAAGCAGGUGGAUUUAACCAACUAAAAUUGUUCUGAAGUUAAACACAUUGAGACAUUGAUGCCCCUUCUG
rnacentral:lncRNA from 1 species